UACGAAAGGGGCGAGUGUUGUCUGUGAGGACUGGGUGUAAAGGGUGUGUAGGUGGUAUAAAAGAUUAUUUGUUAAAUCCUUAUUUAAAAAAUUAUGGCAAUAAAUUUUAUCGUUAUACUUGAGUUAGCCAAGGUUCUUGGAAUUACUACGGUAGGAGCUAAACUGUAGAUCGUGGUAGGAACAUCAGAUGCGAAGGCGUUUUUCUAUGGUUAACUGACACUAAGGCACGACAGUAUGGGGAUCCAACCGGG
rnacentral:rRNA from 1 species